AACAUGUUUGGUUCCAGCAAAUCAGGUAGCACAUGUGAAUUGUGGGAACUGCCAAAUGCUGCUGAUGUAUCAAUAUGGAGCAAGAUCAGUGAAAUGUGCAGUCUGCAACUUUGUCACUUCCAUUGGGGUAAGUAUCAACCAAAUCUGUACAAAGUGAUGAUUGAGUUAUGAAAGCCAUGUUUAAAUGUGAAAACACAAUUUAUAUUGCUAAAUCCUUCAUGCUUUGAACACCUUUUUCAUUGUUGAAGUCAGUGCCCUAAAUGUUGUUCAUUUGAUAGGCUUCUCCAAGCACUGAGCAAAAAGCCUAGCAUUUGAGUACCUUGAAUCACAGAGCUUCUUCCAUCUCUUAUGCCAAGCUGUCUUGUGACACCAAAUGUAUAGAGCUUCUUCUCUAGGCUAAUCCUUCCUUUUGGCAUGUCUAAGGUGUGAAGGUCAUCAUGGAGAGCAUGUCCUCAACUGAGCUUGGAUGGCUAAUAUUUUCUUCUUCUGUCUUGUGUCAACUGUACUUUAUGAUGACAUGAUUUGCAUCUCUGUGUCAAAAUGUUGCAGAAGAUUAUUCAAAGGUUGUUAUUGCAUACCUUAAAGUUGUACUUCCCUCCCUUAUUUUUUUCUUAUCCAAUUGCUCAUCUGCUAAUUAUAAUUAUCUUUGAUUACUGAUAUAAUCUUAAAUCCAGACUCUCAUUUUAAAUCCUGAUCGAAAAAAUAUGAUAAAUCUAACACGUGGAUUCCCCACCACUAACGCAUCAACCUGGGCCGAUGUGCACAUUGAUGCUGACUGCAACAGCUUACACAACUCCUUACACAUCCGAGUAACGUCGAUAACUUCAAAAAUCAUUUUCAUGAAAUAACUCUCCAUCGAGUGGAGACGAUUAUCAAAGCUAUCCCUAUCUAUAAAAUGUAAAAUUUUAAUUAUCCUAAACUCAGCAAUACUCUUCUCUACAUCAUUGAUUUAAACAAUGGAGAGACUUUGUCAGAUACAUCCAAUGUAAUUUUAUCCAAACUACUUGGAAUUGGACUUACGACAAACUCAGACCCAAACCAAGUUGACUUCAUGACUCAUGUUGAACAGUAGGACAAUCAAAAAUUAGUUUGGAGUCAUUAAAAUUCUGAAUGCAGAUCAAAUUAGAAAACAGAAGUAUAUUAAUAAGGAUCAGAACAAUACCAUUACCAUCUAAUCAAACUGGGACAGAGCAUAAGCAUCUUUGAUAAAUAACCAAAUCAACUUCACUUGCCAAAGGUGAUAAUUGCAGGACAUGCUAAAAUCUAGCACAAAUGAAGGUCUUGCACAAAACCUACAUGCCACUUGGUCUGACAAAAGCUUAAUGUACCUCACCCUGUUUAAGCUCAUUCAUACCAAUAGCAAUAUUUACACAAGACUCUCAUAGACCAUGGAGAUGUAAGUUACAAACAUCAUUUGUACCUCAUGUGGACUAAGGAUUAAACUACUGGUUAGAGGUUUAUUUAACCCACUAAAUUUUAGCCUGGGUUAAAAAUAUCCCACCUAAGUUAAAGAAUCCUCUCUCAUCUUGUUUGCCCAACAUGACAACUUACCUGGAUUAGCACCCCCAAACAAAAAAAGGAUCAACCAACAUUGUCUAAAACCUUCAGCAAUGAAUCUCAAGCAAUUUACUCUGGAAAGUUGUUAUGAAUAUAUAUGUACACAAAUAUAUAUUCAUAAAAUUAGUAAUUUUUAUAUUUAUGUAUAUUAUUAUACAACAAUAACAAAAUCAUAAAGUCCCAACUAUUUAUGCAUAGUUUUAUAUAAUAACAAAACUAAAAGAUCUCGACCAUUUGGGCUGAAUACAUCAAUAUUUUAUUGUCGGUAAAUUGAUACAUAAUCUUAUAAAUUUCAAAUACAAUCAGCAACAUAAAAGCAUUAAAAUUUUAUAAGGCAUUUAGAUUUUCCAAAACUAUUAAAUAUAUGAUGACAGAUAUCUAUGAAUGAGAUUAAUAUUUACAACUCCCUCUUUACUAUUUAUUAUUUUAUUUUAUUUUUUUUAAUAUUGGUAACAAUUGACUGCGAAUAGUAAGAUUCUAUAUAAAACCUCAUUUAAAUAAUAAAGCUAAGAAAAUGAGAUAAAAGAAAACAUCACCGCGAGGAUUCAGACUCGUUGGCUUAUGAUAAGAAGUCCACAUGCACACCACCAUCACAGCUAUGGAAAGGCACCGUACAUCACAAUUCGCAUUGCCUUGUCCCAUCCUUUUAGAGCGAUUGCGGAGAAUUCAUUGGUUUUGUGUUGUGAUAGACGAAGAGAUGGUAGUGCGCUUGUCCUCUUGUAUCGUUCGCCAGAGAUGUCAAUCGUAUUCACAUAUUUAUCUUCGGGUCAUCCGAUCACGAUGGAGAAGCUGAUAAGUUGCAGUGUACCUGUUUGUCGAAAUGAAAAGCCCGCCGAAAUCCGAGAAAUUAUGCAGGAAAACCCGAUCUUUCUAGAUCUAAUCAAGUCUUCUGUUGAGAAACCCGCAUGCGAAGCACGCCCUGGUGCUGCGCGAUGAUGAGAGAGAGGAACCUGCAUGCAAGCCGGGAGGGAAGCUCCGGCGCGUAGAGGCAUCGUCGCUUACGAAGGCCGCAGAACAGAUGUCCACGUCUCUGCGAUGACCAUGCGAGAAGAAAUGGGGGAGAAAUCGCUAGGGUGACACAGAAAUGGUGGGAGGAACUAAGCCUCCUCGAUGCCCUCCGGUCUCUUUUCCCUAAUCGGUAACCGAUAACCGAUACGAUUAAGGGUUUCAUGUCCUCAUCACCCAUCAAACUCUAUUUCAUCGACAACCAUUCUCAU
rnacentral:lncRNA from 1 species